AGCUUUGCACAGUGGCAGUAUCGUCGCCAAUGAGGUUUAUCCAAGGCGCGAUUAUUGCUAAUUAAAAGUACAAGACUAGGGACAUCUGGGUGGCUCAGUUGCUUGAGCAUCUGACUUCAGCUCAGGUCAUGGUCCUCCAGCUCGUGAGUUUGAGUCCCGCAUCGGG
rnacentral:snRNA from 1 species